UACGGAGGAUGCAAGCGUUAUCCGGAAUGAUUGGGCGUACAGCGUCCGCAGGUGGCUGUGUAAGUCUGCUGUCAAAGAGCGAAGCUCAACUUCGUAAAGGCAGUGGAAACUACACGGCUAGAGUGCGUUCGGGGCAGAGGGAAUUCCUGGUGUAGCGGUGAAAUGCGUAGAGAUCAGGAAGAACACCGGUGGCGAAGGCGCUCUGCUAGGCCGCAACUGACACUGAGGGACGAAGGCCAGGGGAGCAAACGGG
rnacentral:rRNA from 1 species